rnacentral:rRNA from 1 species
GAUGAACGCUAGCGGCAGGCUUAAUACAUGCAAGUCGAGGGGCAGCAUAGUGUAGUAAUACAUGGGUGGCGACCGGCAUACGGGUGCGGAACACGUACGCAAUCUACCUUCAACUGGAACAUAGCCCCGGGAAACUGGGAUUAAUUUUCCAUAGUAUUAUGAGAGGGCAUUCUCUUAUAAUUAAAGCUCAGGCGGUUGAAGAUGAGCGUGCGCCUGAUUAGCUAGUUGGCGGGGUAACGGCCACCAAGGCUACGAUCAGUAAUUGGCGUGAGAGCGCGACCAGUCACACGGGCACUGAGACACGGGCCCGACUCCUACGGGAGGCAGCAGUAGGGAAUAUUGGUCAAUGGAGGCAACUCUGAACCAGCAUGCCGCGUGCAGGAUGAAGGCCCUCUGGGUUGUAAACUGCUUUUAUUAGGGAAGAAAUCUGAGGAUUCAUCCACAGUUGACGGUACCUAAGGAAUAAGCACCGGCUAACUCCGUGCCAGCAGCCGCGGUAAAAC